CUGAACGUUUGCACCGCCAUAUUGGAAAAAGGCACACUGUUCUGGCUGUGUGGACAGAAGCCCUAUUCAACUGGUCAAGGGGCAAGAGUUCGAAACAAUCAAAAUUUCAGCUGUUAUACAUCCUAAUACAUUAUCUGUGGCCAUGUACUCCAGCACCUUAAAUUCCAAAUAUUUGUCCAUGUACAAGUCCACUCCACCACCACCAUUCUUUUGCCAGUUUAGAAUUCAUAACCCUCAAGAUCAAAGUCUAUUCCUUUGUUCAUAUAAUCCAAGUUUCAGAGAUGGCAAUGAUACUGAAUGGUUGUGAAAACGGGUUUAGAUAUUCCUUGAUAUGAUUAAAAUUUGCAUUUAGACUUCUACUGUUGAAGUGGAUAAUUGACAGUUUAUUCUCAGCGUUUAUACCCUAGUUGCAAUGUUCAUUUGUAUAGUCGCAGCAGUUAUAGUUGAUAGAAGAGAAGAAGGUCUAUUUCAUAUUGCAUGUCCUGUGUAUUGUGAUAUUCAAAUAUUUUCAGUUCCAGUUGAUCAUAUUCACCAAUCCUCUGAGUGAUGCAGGUAUUUGCUCCAGAUGUAGAUCAGUUGUUUCUUUUAG